UAGGGAAUCUUCGGCAAUGGACGGAAGUCUGACCGAGCAACGCCGCGUGAGUGAAGAAGGUUUUCGGAUCGUAAAGCUCUGUUGUUAGAGAAGAACGUUGGUAGGAGUGGAAAAUCUACCAAGUGACGGUAACUAACCAGAAAGGGACGGCUAACUACGUGCCAGCAGCCGCGGUAAUACGUAGGUCCCGAGCGUUGUCCGGAUUUAUUGGGCGUAAAGCGAGCGCAGGCGGUUCUUUAAGUCUGAAGUUAAAGGCAGUGGCUUAACCAUUGUGCGCUUUGGAAACUGGAGGACGUGAGUGCAGGAGGGGAGAGUGGAAUUCCAUGUGUAGCGGUGAAAUGCGUAGAUAUAUGGAGGAACACCGGUGGCGAAAGCGGCUCUCUGGUCUGUAACUGACGCUGAGGCUCGAAAGCGUGGGGAGCAAACAGG
rnacentral:rRNA from 1 species